GGGCAGAUACUCAAGCGGUCAACGAGGACAGACUGUAAAUCUGUUGACGAAUGUCUACGAAGGUUCGAAUCCUUCUCUGCCCA
rnacentral:tRNA from 1 species